rnacentral:lncRNA from 1 species
GCUGGAAGACACCAACUUCCUGACAGGAGCUUUAUUUCAUUUGGGAUUUCAAGUUUACAGAUGGUAUCUUCUCAAAAGUUGGAAAAACCUAUAGUUUCAGAAACAACUCUCCAAGUUCCAUUUCCAAGGAAAGUCUUAACCAUUUGUCCCUUCUGGCGUACCCUCUUUCAUUGAAAUCCAUGCAGAAUAUACCAGAGAUGGGCAGUAGCGAACCCCUUCCCAUCGCAGAUGGUGACAGGAGGAGGAAGAAGAAGCGGAGGGGCCGGGCCACUGACUCCUUGCCAGGAAAGUUUGAAGCUAUUCCUGGAGGGGCUGCUGAGAGAUAGAACUAUAUAAGAGGAAGAGAGAAACACCAAAGGCCAUGGCCGCAAAUGAAACUUCAGUCUCCUAUAUGUACAAGCUGACCUCUGAAUUGCUUGGAGAGGGAGCCUAUGCCAAAGUUCAAGGUGCCGUGAGCCUACAGAAUGGCAAAGAGUAUGCCGUCAAAAUCAUCGAGAAACAAGCAGGGCACAGUCGGAGUAGGGUGUUUCGAGAGGUGGAGACGCUGUAUCAGUGUCAGGGAAACAAGUGAGUAUCAUGUGAUUCUCGCUGCUUCUCUGGGGGGACGCUUGGCCACAGAAGAGGAGGCUAUUUCUUACCAUCUCCUGACUCCAGCAUUUAGCUCUCACUCCUGUCCCCACAAGGCAGGUACCUCCUUCCGCCCCUUUCAGUGUUAGGGAGAGAAAGGAAAAGCAGCAGUAACAGCAAAGGAGCUAUUAUCUCUUCUGAAAUACUGUAAAUAUCAUCAAUUCAAGCAAGUUAGAAGAAUGAACUAUCUGAAUCAGUGGUUGUUGGGGGGAAAUGGGGUUUUAUUUCUUUCGGUACCUGUGGAAACUAGGUUGACUGAGUGUUGCCUGGUAGAAAUCUUUAAGGACUUGCCUUAAUACCAAGAUGAGGAGAACUGUUAAGAAUAUUUGCUGCUGUUUCUGCUCCUAGAAUGUUUACAUAUGUGCAGAUACCACUAAGAUCCUGGAACCUUCCAGAUAGCUGGGUCCGGCUCAUCUCUAGCCCCAGUUCAUUCUGCCCACCACCAGCUCCAAAUGAGCAGCUCUCCCACUGUGGCUUUAAAUCAGGGGCACCUCUAAGACUCCACUUCCCCCUCUCUCCCUCCACGGUAGGGUCAGCAGGGAGCCAGUGGCCUGGUAUUGAUGGCUUUGUCAUUAAGCUUGGAGGAUUGGAGGACGGGGGCUGCUGUUGAUUUAACUCCAGGCACUGCCUCCACAAUCUUCUUUCAAAUUAGGCCAUUUUGCCCAUCUUAUUUGGAUGCCUUCACACUAGUAAAAGCCUCAUAUCUCCCAAAGUAGUCAGCAUUUUUUUUAUGAGGGACAGAUUUUUAUUUUCAGCCCUGCAGCUUCUUAGUUCAGCAUUAGAGACUCUACUUGGUUUAUUUUAUUUUGUAAAAGAAAAAAAGCCCACAACACCUCCAAUAUCCAGGCUGGUGGCUUCCCUACUGAGUUACAAGACGACCUUGUUGGCAGAGCACUGAAAUACUCGGGCAGACAGAGAGUGCUCACCGGGGAAGGCCACAAGUGCUACAGUGGCCAGGAACGCGGCCGUUUCAUUAAGCAGCGCUUAGCAGUUAGGGUCUAGCGGUGCCCAUGUUAGGCCCCAAGUCCAUUUGACAGAUGUUUCCAUUUUCUCCAGGCAAUGUAAAUACUGCCCCGUGAUUUAUGGGCAAGAGGGAGGGCAAGUAAUUAUUUGCUGCUUGCCUCCAGGACACACACCUAGUAUUCAGUGUUAUUAGCCGCAAUUGCUUCCAGUCGGCUGCAGAUUUUAUUCAGUUUAAUGUGACCGGGACUUUUUUAUAACUCUACCUAGUGGGUUUUAGGGCUGGGGUUUGACAGCACAGACUUGGUGAAAACACCAGAGACUAAACAUUAUGGAAAGAUAAGGUGACCUGAAUCUUGCUAACACCAUUGGCUGCUUCCAUACGCGGGUCUUUAAUAAGCAUUCUGAUUUCAAGUUGGUUUCUGCCCCACUACCAGGUGUUGUAUAUUUUUUUCAUUGUAUAUUUGUAAGUAGACUUUAAUAUAUAAUACCAUUUCCCCCCUUUUCCCUCUCCUCCUAUUUUCCCUAUUUAAGGAACAUUUUGGAGCUGAUUGAGUUCUUUGAAGAUGACACAAGGUUUUACUUGGUCUUUGAGAAAUUGCAAGGAGGUACUUACCGUUGAGUAUGUGUGUGGACUUCUGAUUAAGACCCAGGGUGGUGAUCAUCCAUCAUGAAUCCCAGAGACUUCCAAAACGAGUCAAGCUAAUAAAAAGGAUGAAGGACUUAAAAACUGCCCUUGAUUUGGGAGAAGGGAGGCCGGAGGGAAGGAUGAUAAUUAGCAUUUUGCAGAGCUUAGAAUGUCACCUGUGUGGGUAUUUUAUAAAUGCCUUUUCAUUAUAAUAGGAGUCAUAUAUAGAUACAUUUAGUCAUCGAUUUAUCAAUCCCGUUUUGACAUGUUCACUGUUUAACUACAUUAAUUAUGGGGUGGAAGCUCUCAAAUACAUUGCGAAGUCUAGAAAGGCUAAAACAGAGGAGAGGAGGGUCCUAUUGUUUGGGACACAGACCCAGGAUAAAGGGGAAGCCUGAGAAUGUGCCAUCCUUCAGAUGGAAAGAUGCCAUCACCCACACACAUAAUCACUGGGGUGUAUACUUAAGUUGCUUUUCUGACAUAAUGAGGUGGGGUAGAGAAACCCUUUCCCUUCCCAUCACUCCCCCAAUCUUAGGACACACUUGCAGGGAUGUCUGGAACUGCAUGGAGGGCCACACGGAGGGGCUUGGUGGUUGAGGGAGCGUGCUUUAGAAACCAACACAGCUAAAGCUUAUGUUAUGUCUAGCUGCAUCACUUACUAGCCAUGUGAUCUUGGGCAAGUCACUUAACCUUUUCUAAACAAUAUUCCCUUCUAUAAAAUAGAGAUAUUGAUAGCACCUACCUCACUGGGUUGCUGUGAAGAUUAAAUGAGAUAAUUCAUGUGAAAUGCUUAGGACAGUGUCUGGUAGGCACUAAGGGCCCAAUAAAUGUUGGCUGCUAAUAUUAUUAAAACAAUUUGGUAUGCUGGGGGAUGUCUUAGAAGUAUGUAGAGUAGACCAGGUACAGUGGCUCACGCCUAUAAUCCCAGCACUUUGGGAUGCCAAGGUGGGCAGAUCACUUGAGGUCAGGAGUUCAAGACCAGCCUGGCCAACAUGGUGAAACCCGGCUCUACUAAAAAUACAAAAAUUAGCUGGGUGUGCUGGCACAUGCCUGUAAUCCCAGCUACUCAGGAGGCUGAGGCAGAAGAAUCGCUUGAACCUGGGAGGCAGAGGUUGCAGUGAGCCGAGAUCGCACCACUACACUCCAGCCUGGGCAACAGAGUGAGACUCUGUCUCAAAAAAAAAAAAAAAAAA